GUACGCGGCAUCGACUCUGUCGUUGCCGAUGCUACCGGAAAGAUGACCAAACUUGAUCAUUUAGAGGAAGUAAAAGUCGAAACAAGGUUUCCGUAGAUGAACCUGCGGAAGGAUCAUUG
rnacentral:rRNA from 1 species